rnacentral:ncRNA from 1 species
GUCUUUGAGGCGGGGUGAAUUUCCCCACCGGCGGUAUAGCCCGCGAGCUGUGACGUUCACAGCAUGAUCUGGUGUGAUUCCAGGGCCGACAGUAUAGUCUGGAUGAGAAAAGA